rnacentral:rRNA from 1 species
AUCUUCCACAAUGGGCGAAAGCCUGAUGGAGCAACGCCGCGUGAGUGAAGAAGGUUUUNGGAUCGNANAACUCUGUUGUAAGGGANGAACAAGUACAGUAGUAACUGGCUGUACCUUGACGGUACCUUAUUAGGAACACACGGCUAACUACGUGCCAGCAGCCGCGGUAAUAAGUCGGUGGCAAGCGUUGUCCGGAAUUAUUGGGCGUAAAGCGCGCGCAGGCGGUCCUUUAAGUCUAAUGUGAAAGCCCACGGCUCAACCGUGGAGGGUCAUUGGAAACGGGGGGACUUGAGUGCAGAAGAGGAAAGUGGAAUUCCAAGUGUAGCGGUGAAAUGCGUAGAGAUUUGGAGGAACACCAGUGGCGAAGGCGACUUUCUGGUCUGUAACUGACGCUGAGGCGCGAAAGCGUGGGGAGCAAACA